CACCCCUUCCCAUCCCGAACAGGACCGUGAAACGACUCUACGCCGAUGAUAGUGCUGCAACCAGUGUGAAAGUAGGUUAUCGUCAAGC
rnacentral:rRNA from 13 species